rnacentral:rRNA from 1 species
ACGAACGCUGGCGGCGUGCUUAACACAUGCACGUCGAACGGAAAGGCCUUUUCGGAGGUACUCGAGUGGCGACCGGGUGAGUAACACGUGGGUGAUCUGCCCUGCACUCUGGGAUAAGCCUGGGAAACUGGGUCUAAUACCGGAUAGGACCGCACUUUAGUGUGUGUGGUGGAAAGUUUUUUCGGUGUAGGAUGAGCCCGCGGCCUAUCAGCUUGUUGGUGGGGUAAUGGCCUACCAAGGCGGCGACGGGUAGCCGGACUGAGAGGUUGGUCGGCCACAUUGGGACUGAGAUACGGCCCAGACUCCUACGGGAGGCAGCAGUGGGGAAUAUUGCACAAUGGGCGCAAGCCUGAUGCAGCGACGCCGCGUGGGGGAUGACGGCCUUCGGGUUGUAAACUCCGUUCGCCAGGGACGAAGCGUUUUGUGACGGUACCUGGAGAAGAAGCACCGGCUAACUACGUG